CGGAGUGGACGUAUCACUGGUGUUCGGGUUGUCAUGCCAAUGGCACUGCCCGGUAGCUAAAUGCGGAAGAGAUAAGUGCUGAAAGCAUCUAAGCACGAAACUUGCCCCGAGAUGAGUUCUCCCUGACUCCUUGAGAGUCCUGAAGGAACGUUGAAGACGACGACGUUGAUAGGCCGGGUGUGUAAGCGCAGCGAUGCGUUGAGCUAACCGGUACUAAUGAACCGUGAGGCUUAACCUUACAACGCCGAAG
rnacentral:rRNA from 1 species